CCUACGGGAGGCAGCAGUAGGGAAUUUUCCACAAUGGGCGAAAGCCUGAUGGAGCAACGCCGCGUGGGUGAAGAAGGUCUUCGGAUCGUAAAACCCUGUUGUUAGAGAAGAAAGUGCGUGAGAGUAACUGUUCACGUUUCGACGGUAUCUACCCAGAAAGCCACGGCUAACUACGUGCCAGCAGCCGCGGUAAUACGUAGGUGGCAAGCGUUAUCCGGAUUUAUUGGGCGUAAAGGGAACGCAGGCGGUCUUUUAAGUCUGAUGUGAAAGCCUUCGGCUUAACCGGAGUAGUGCAUUGGAAACUGGGAGACUUGAGUGCAGAAGAGGAGAGUAGAACUCCAGGUGUAGCGGUGAAAUGCGUAGAUAUAUGGAAGAACACCAGUGGCGAAGGCGGCUCUCUGGGCUGUAACUGACGCUGAGGUUCGAAAGCGUGGGUAGCAAACAGGAUUAGAUACCCGUGUAGUC
rnacentral:rRNA from 1 species